rnacentral:rRNA from 1 species
UACAGAGGGUGCGAACGUUGUUCGGAAUUACUGGGCAUAAAGAGCACGUAGGCGGCACCGCAAGUGUGGGGUGAAAUCCCACGGCUUACCCGUGGAACUGCCUGGCAGACUGCGGUGCUAGAGGUUGGUAGGGGAGAGCGGAACUCUUGGUGGAGCGGUGAAAUGCGUAGAUAUCAAGAGGAACACCGGUGGCGAAGGCGGUCUCUGGGCAUUACCUGACGCUGAGGAGCGAAAGUGUGGGGAGCGAACAGG